CCCUGACCGGGGUUGCGGACAGUGUCUGGUGGGUAGUUUGACUGGGGCGGUCUCCUCCCAAAGCGUAACGGAGGAGCACGAAGGUUAGCUAAUCCUGGUCGGACAUCAGGAGGUUAGUGCAAUGGCAUAAGCUAGCUUGACUGCGAGCGUGACGGCGCGAGCAGGUGCGAAAGCAGGUCAUAGUGAUCCGGUGGUUCUGAAUGGAAGGGCCAUCGCUCAACGGAUAAAAGGUACUCCGGGGAUAACAGGCUGAUACCGCCCAAGAGUUCAUAUCGACGGCGGUGUUUGGCACCUCGAUGUCGGCUCAUCACAUCCUGGGGCUGAAGUAGGUCCCAAGGGUAUGGCUGUUCGCC
rnacentral:rRNA from 1 species